rnacentral:tRNA from 1 species
GAAAGGGUAGCUCAAGUGGUAGAGCGCAUGCUUAGCAUGCACGAGGUCCUGAGUUCAAUCCCCAGUGCCUCCA